rnacentral:rRNA from 1 species
GACGAACGCUGGCGGCGUGCUUAACACAUGCAAGUCGAACGGAAAGGCCCUGCUUUUGUGGGGUGCUCGAGUGGCGAACGGGUGAGUAACACGUGAGUAACCUGCCCUUGACUUUGGGAUAACUUCAGGAAACUGGGGCUAAUACCGGAUAGGAGCUCCUGCUGCAUGGUGGGGGUUGGAAAGUUUCGGCGGUUGGGGAUGGACUCGCGGCUUAUCAGCGUGUUGGUGGGGUAGUGGCUUACCAAGGCUUUGACGGGUAGCCGGCCUGAGAGGGUGACCGGCAACAUGGGGACUGAGAUACGGCCCAGACUCGUACGGGAGGCAGCAGUGGGGAAUAUUGCACAAUGGGCGGAAGCCUGAUGCAGCAACGCCGCGUGAGGGAUGACGGCCUGCGGUUUGUAAACCGCUUUCGCCUGGGACGAAGCGUGAGUGACGGUAAUGGGUAAAGAAGCACCGGCUAACUACGUG